UGUUGUUCAAGUCUUGUGUUUCCCUGUUGAUCUUCUCCAUAGUUAUUCCAUUAUUGAAAGUGGAGUAUUGAAAUCUCUAAUUAUUAUUGUUGAAUGAUCUGCCUCCACUCCCCAACUGAGCACAACUUGCUGAGUUAAAUUUUUUAAAAUCAUCAGAGAUAGAGAAUAGAGGUUUUGUACAAAGUUGCAAGUCUGGACAAAAUAUUAACUCUGUUCUGAGUGUGGUGCUUUUUAAGGGAGCUCCAAAAGAGAUCAGACUUUUCCAUUGUCUGCAGUGCUGCUGACUAUUAGCUACUGAGCCAUUGAGUUGGAGAAGGAGGGAGUGAUAGGAAUAGCCCCAAGUUAAAACAUCUGAAACCCCCAUUGUCUUUGUGAUAGUCAAUAAUUGCCCUAGGAUAGUAUGUUCUGUAUUCCUCUCCACUAAGACAUCCGCUAAGUACAUUAGGAGAGGGAAAAAAAAAAAAAAGUGUCUAUUUGAGAAAGCUAAAGAGACAUGGUGUUUUCAGUAGAAACUCAUUUACUUAGUGAAAGAAUAUGAACAUUGAGAGAGCUGGAUAAGCUUACUUGGAGUUGCUUAUGAUCACCUAUAUUUGGCACUUAUAAAGCUUCAUAGACUUUAGAAUUCAUUUUUACAGAAGGACCUGAAAAGUUGGAUUUCUGGUGGAGACUUCAAUAAAAAGAGAAGUGAGACAUUGUGGAGUUGGUAUCUAAUGUAUUAAUCUGAAUGAGGUGCUCAUUAUCUUUAGAGAAAAGUUACCAAGACACUGGAAGACCAUUGACUCCUGAGGGAGAGCUGUCCUGGAGUUUGAGGUGGUUUGGGAGAUGUUUCUUUCCUGUGGUUGUAAGAUGCCUGCCUCACCUUCAGAAUCUUUUAGGGCAUCCUGUUUCAGGAGAAAAAUAAAGGAUGAGAGGACAUGAUAUCUCUAUGGCCUAUUUGCCCCCUCUAAAUCUUCCUAGAAGCCUUACCCCAUGACAUCUUUGUAUAUCCCAUUGGCCAGGACAGAGUUACAUGGGUACCCUUAGACCAAUGCUUAGAAGGUAACUUUGGAAAACGUGGUUGUAGAUAGGAUUAGUCAGCCAACCAACAGUGCCUCCCACUGUUUUUGCUUAAAAAACAAGUGAUACAAGAGAGAAAAGAAAAAGAUUAAAUAACUAUAAUUAUGUGUUCAGUUUUCUUAGAAUGUCUUUUGUAUGGUGCUUUUCUAUAUAGUAUUAUAGAAAGUGUUAUUAAGAAUUCAGAAAUCUGCUGGUGAUUUGCUUGGCUUUGCUUCACUGAUAUGCUGAAAGACUGGCACACUUAGGAGAAUAUGAAAAAUAGGAAUACCCUCACACAAUACAUAAUUGUUACCAAUAUGAAAUUUUUAUAUAUUUUGUGUUUCUUUGGAGAAAUCACUCAAAUACCAGCACUAGAUACAAAACUAGAGGCUGGUAAAGGAGUAUUUACAUUAAUUUGCAGCAACCAAAAUUGAAUUGAGAAAUCUGGUCAAAGGAGAAUAAAACUGAAUAGGACUUGAGCUGAUUCUUUCUU
rnacentral:lncRNA from 12 species